CGCCGCGGCUGCUACUUGGGCUCUUUGUCCUGCUGGUCCCCGUCGCUUCCCAGGAGCCCGGUGGGAAAUCCUGUGCCAGCCCCCUGGAUAGGGGUGAUCAGCCCUCCCCAGUCUGGUGGUAGAAGCAACCAGGCAUUGGAACAGACUGACCAGGAAAGUGAUGGAAUCACCAUGCCUCUCUCUACCUGAACUUGGUGCAUCCACAGCAUCCAUUCUCCUAGAGCUCUUGCCUUGAUUUUAGGUUUCCAUGCAGUGUCUGCUGGCCCAGCGUGGCCAUGAGUGCCUGAGAGCUCCCUCCCUACUGCUGCGUGUCCCUGGAGGGAUGGAGAGCUGAGCUGCUCUUCCCUGUGGCCACUGGAAAACCCUGCCCAUACACUCCCAUUUUCUGGAGAAGCAGGCUCCUUUUGCUCUGAAGAGCAGCCUCUCAGUGACACUGCUCCCUAUUUAUUUUGGCCUAACCUCUCCUUCCAGUGUUUAUGGCGACAAAACUUGGGUGCUGUUAAACAGCAAAUCUGAGCCCUUGGAGAAAACAUUUUGCAAUCCUUCUUCAAGCGUCAUUGCCUGGCUUAAAAAAAUCCCUGAGCAGAAAAAACUGUGCUGCUGGGAAACUGGCUUUGCUCUUGGGGGGAAUGUCACCACUUCUUUAUAAGGAGGCAGGAGAAUGUGGAGGCUGCAUCCUCUGAUAAAAAAAGAGGGAGAGGGACUUCUUAAGUGAGCCUGCAGUGACAGGACAAGGGUAAAUGGCUUCACACUGGUAGAGGGGAAGGUUGGGUGGAAUAUUGGGUAGGAAUUCUUCCCAGUGAGGCCCUGGCACAGGGUGCUCAGAGAAGCUGUGGCUGCCCCUGGAGCCCUGGCAGUAUCCAAGGCCAGGUUGGACACUGGGGGUUGGAGCAUUCUGGGAGAAUGAAAGGUGUCCCUGCUUGUGGCAGGGCGUGGAACAAGGCGAGGUGUGGUGUCCCUUCCAACCCGCCCCAUGUUCUGUGACAGGGACACCGUGUGUCUCCUGCACCACUCUGGCCUUCUGUGACUGUUAGGAAUGAUACUCUAAGCCCUGGAAUAACAAUCCUAGCAAGUAUGCUGUCUUUUUUCCCAAACUCUUAAUAGUUUACCAAGAAAAGAAUUAAUUCUGGCAUUUCAGUAGAGAGUUCAAAGUGCUGAAGGAGACAUCUGGGAUUAAGUAUUGAUGUAUAUCAGCAGCCCAGAGGUAUGGGAUUAAUAAAACAUUCUAACGAUUCUUCUGGUGUAUCUGAUGACAUUUGGGAAA